ensembl:lncRNA
GUUAUUAGAGCUGCAGGUAGAUGUAAUGGUAGGAAAAAAGAGGGACAAGUACAGUCUCAUACUGACAUCAGAUCCAAUCAUUUUUCUAGGCCUAAUUAUGCACUUGAGACAGGCACUCCGAAGCAAGCUCUAUUGCACUGAGUUUGGUUCCAACAGUACACGAGAAGACUAAUACAAAUCACAGAAUCAUAGAAUCAUAGAAUAGAAUCAUAGAAUUGCUAAGGUUGGAAAAGACCCACAGGAUCAUCCAGUCCAACCAUUCACCCACCACCAAUGGUUCUCAUUAAACCAUGUCCCUCAACACAACAUCCAAACGCUCCUUGAACACCUCCAGGGUCAGUGACUCCAUCACCUCUCUGGGCAGCCCAUUCCAGUGCCUGACCACCCUUUCAGAGAAGUAGUAUUUCCUAACGUCCAGCCUGAACCUUUCCUAGCACAGCUUGAAGCCAUUCCCUCUAGUCCUAUCACUAGUCACAUGAGAGAAGAGGCCAACCCCCAGCUCACUACAGCCUCCCUUCAGGUAGUUAGAGAGAGCAAUAAGGUCUCCCCUGAGCCUCCUCUUCUCCAGACUGAACAAUCCCAGCUCCUUCAGCCACUCCUCAUAAGGCCUGUGCUCCAGACCCCUCACCAGCUUUGUUGCCCUUCUCUGGACACGCUCCAGGGCCUCAAUGUCUUUCUUACAGUGAGGGGCCCAAAACUGGACACAGUACUCAAGGUGCGGCCUCAUCAGUGCUGAGUACAGGGGGACAAUUACUUCCCUAUUCCUGCUGGCCACACUAUUUCUGAUACAAGCCAGGAUGCCAUUGGCCUUCUUGGCCACCUGGGCACACUGCUGGCUCAUGUUCAGUCUAGCAUCAAUCAACACCCCCAGGUCCAUUUCCUCUACACAGUCUUCCAGCCACUCUGCCCCAAGCCUGUAGUGUUGCCUGGGGUUACUGUGGCCAAAGUACAGGACCCGGCAUUUGGUCUUGUUGAAUCCCAUCCCAUUGGCUUCGGCCCAGCUAUCCAGCCUAUCCAGAUCCCUCUGUAGGGCCUCGCUACCCUCAGGCAGAUCAACGCUUCCAGCCAGCUUGGUGUCAUCUGCAAACUUACUGAGGGCGCACUCAAUGCCCUCAUCCAGGUCAUCAAUAAAGAUAUGAAACAGGACAGGCCCCAAUACCGAGCCCUGGGGGACACCACUUGUGACCGGCCGUCAACUGGAUUUAACUCCAUUCACCACCACUCUCUGGGCCCGGCCCUCC